rnacentral:rRNA from 1 species
AGUGUAGAUUCAGAGUUUGAUCCUGGCUCAGGAUGAACGCUAGCGGCAGGCCUAAUACAUGCAAGUCGAACGGGAUCCAGGGGCAAGCUUGCUUGCUUCUGGUGAGAGUGGCGUACGGGUGCGUAACGCGUGAGCAACCUACCGCUGUCUGGGGGAUAGCCCGGAGAAAUCCGGAUUAAUACCGCAUAACAUCAGUUUACAGCAUUGUUUACUGAUCAAACAUUUAUGGGACAGCGAUGGGCUCGCGUGACAUUAGCUAGUUGGGGUGGUAACGGCACACCAAGGCGACGAUGUCUAGGGGAUCUGAGAGGAUGACCCCCACACUGGGACUGAGACACGGCCCAG